rnacentral:tRNA from 1 species
GCACCAUUAGCUCAGUUGGUUAGAGCAACCGGCUCAUAACCGGUCGGUCGUAGGUUCGAAUCCUUCAUGGUGCA